rnacentral:rRNA from 1 species
UUUAUGGAGAGUUUGAUCCUGGCUCAGGAUGAACGCUGGCGGCGUGCCUAAUACAUGCAAGUCGAGCGAACGGACGAGAAGCUUGCUUCUCUGAUGUUAGCGGCGGACGGGUGAGUAACACGUGGAUAACCUACCUAUAAGACUGGGAUAACUUCGGGAAACCGGAGCUAAUACCGGAUAAUAUUUUGAACCGCAUGGUUCAAAAGUGAAAGACGGUCUUGCUGUCACUUAUAGAUGGAUCCGCGCUGCAUUAGCUAGUUGGUAAGGUAACUGCUUACCAAGGCAACGAUGCAUAGCCGACCUGAGAGGGUGAUCGGCCACACUGGAACUGAGACACGGUCCAGACUCCUACGGGAGGCAGCAGUAGGGAAUCUUCCGCAAUGGGCGAAAGCCUGACGGAGCAACGCCGCGUGAGUGAUGAAGGUCUUCGGAUCGUAAAACUCUGUUAUUAGGGAAGAACAUAUGUGUAAGUAACUGUGCACAUCUUGACGGUACCUAAUCAGAAAGCCACGGCUAACUACGUGCCAGCAGCCGCGGUAAUACGUAGGUGGCAAGCGUUAUCCGGAAUUAUUGGGCGUAAAGCGCGCGUAGGCGGUUUUUUAAGUCUGAUGUGAAAGCCCACGGCUCAACCGUGGAGGGUCAUUGGAAACUGGAAAACUUGAGUGCAGAAGAGGAAAGUGGAAUUCCAUGUGUAGCGGUGAAAUGCGCAGAGAUAUGGAGGAACACCAGUGGCGAAGGCGACUUUCUGGUCUGUAACUGACGCUGAUGUGCGAAAGCGUGGGGAUCAAACAGGAUUAGAUACCCUGGUAGUCCACGCCGUAAACGAUGAGUGCUAAGUGUUAGGGGGUUUCCGCCCCUUAGUGCUGCAGCUAACGCAUUAAG